rnacentral:rRNA from 1 species
CGUGUAGGCGGCCAGGUAGGUCUGCUGUGAAAACUCGAGGCUUAACCUCGAGAUGUCGGCGGAAACCAUCUGGCUAGAGUCCGGAAGAGGAGAGUGGAAUUCCUGGUGUAGCGGUGAAAUGCGCAGAUAUCAGGAAGAACACCCGUGGCGAAGGCGGCUCUCUGGGACGGUACUGACGCUGAGAGCGAAAGCGUGGGGAGCGGACA